CAGAAACUCAAAGGAAUUGACGGGGCCCGCACAAGCGGAGGAGCAUGUGGUUAAUUCGAUGAUACGCGAGGAACCUUACCUGGGCUCGAACGUAAGAUGACUGUAGGUGAAAGCUUACAUCUCUUCGGAGCAUUUUACGAGGUGCUGCAUGGUUGUCGUCAGCUCGUGCCGUGAGGUGUCGGGUUAAGUCCCAUAACGAGCGCAACCCCUACCUUUAGUUGCCAUCAGGUUAAGCUGGGGACUCUAAAGGAACUGCCUACGCAAGUAGUGAGGAAGCGGGGAUGACGUCAAAUCAGCACGGCCCUUACGUCCAGGGCUACACACGUGCUACAAUGGCCGAUACAGAGGGCAGCUACCUGGUGACAGGAUGCAAAUCUCCAAAGUCGGUCUCAGUUCGGAUCGGAGUCUGCAACCCGACUCCGUGAAGUUGGAUUCGCUAGUAAUCGCGCAUCAGCCACUGGCGCGGUGAAUACGUUCCCGGGCCUU
rnacentral:rRNA from 1 species